rnacentral:lncRNA from 1 species
AGGUAAUUUAAAAUUAUGACCAAGAAAAUCAAGGAAACUAUUCUUAAACUUUGACUACAUAUAUGUGAAGAAUUCUGAAAAAUAAGCAAGUAAUUAUAAAAAAAACAAGUCAUUUCAUCUGAUGCAAUCAACCAAACACUUGAGGAUAAUUGGAUGUUAAGAAUCAAAAGAGACUUAUGACUAUAAAAGUUUGGCAGGCUAAAAAAUUAGAAGACUUGAUCAUUUUGUUUUAUUUAAUUUGAUGAAAAGGUUACAAGAAUGAGUUAUUCUAUCACCACAAACCAAAUGGUUAGGAUGCCAAAACAUUUAUGUAUUAAUUUAAAAGGCCAUACAAAUGUUUUCUCUUAAUAUGUACACAUUUCACAGUAGCAAUUCUAAAAAUAAGACCACUAUCAACUAUGGAAAUGAUCAAGUGGAAUUAGUCUAGCUAGCAGAACUAACAUUGUUAUUAUUCAUUUUCAAAUUGACAAACUAAAUGAAAAUUCCAGAACAUGAUCAAGUAGUUGUUAAACAACAAAUAACUAACAAAUAUGUUGCUAUAUGUUACAAUAACAAAUCCGGUUCUAAAGUUAGAAAAUAAAUGAGUAAGAACACAACCAGUGAUCACAGAGUUAAGCCAUUUGUGCCUACAUCUAAGACAACAACAAAGUAUGUUAUUUGAUUUUCUAUUAUGCAAUGGAUUAAGGCUAUUGAUUACAAAACUUUGUUUAAAUAUUACUUUCCUAUUUGAGCUCCACUUGAGCAUCUACCCAUUUAUCAGCGAAUAUACGAGCCAUAUCAACACUAUACAAAUUUAUGCCAUGAUGGUCACAUUAUGAUUUCAGGUUGCACUCAGAUGGGUGUACCAACAAGGAUCAAGUGCAAUGGCUAAAAGCUUCAACAAGGAGAGAAUGAAACAAAACCUUGAAAUAUUUGAUUUUGAAUUGAGUGAAGAUGAUUUAGAGAAAAUUAAGCAGAUUCCACAGAGCAGGCAAUACUUAGGAGAAAUGUGGCUAUCAGAAAAUGGAUCCUGCAAGACCUUAGAAGAACUUUGGGAUGAUGAUGUUUGAAUGUUUCCUCAAAGUCAAUAAGAAAAUAAAGUUCAUGAUUUCAUUUUCAUUUUAUUAGCUUCUCUUAUAUUAUUAUGUAUAAGCAUGAGGAAUCAUGUUUUGGUCUAUUUUCAUGAGUUGAACAAGAGUGUGAGUGUGACAUUCAAAUGGAGCCUCAGUUAUAUAGUUCAUUGGUCAUGCACAAUGUUUUAAAUAUGUACAAGUAACAAUAGACUAAUGACUACGAUCACCGAACGACUUGAAAACCACAUCUUCACCAAAAACCUUAAAACUAUGAGAAUAUAAGUUCCCUUGUCUUAUAUCAUUUAACUCAUUUCUAACCGAUGUUGGAAUAACUACUCACAUUUGAACUCCAAAAACCUCUCUGAUAAGUGAUUCACCGACAUCACUAUACUUGAACCAUACCAGGAUUCAUUAUCGCUCUCCCAUCAAGUCGAACCGCACUCAAAUACCGCCACUUGUAGGGAAUUCAAGGGGAGCGGCGGUAGCAACAAUAGACUAAUGACCAUGAUCACCAAGAGACUUGGACACCAUAUUUUCAUUCAAAACUUUAACUCGUUUCUAACCGAUGUGAGACUAACCACACACUUAAAUUUCAAUAAACUUGUGAAUAUCAACUAGUAAAAAAUAAUAACAUAAAACAGCAUUAGUAUUCUAUAGUAAGUGCUAAUGAAUUUUUCUUUGUUACUAGGUGUUUUUGGAGAAAAAAAGGAAUGGACAAUAUUUCUACAGAUAGCAUAACUCUACUAUUUACCCAUACAAUAUUUCUUUGUCAUAUAUUUAACAAAAUCCACCAACCUUAAUCAAAACAAAGUUAUCAACAAAACCUUUGAAACAAUCACUACCUCACAAUACUCAUAUUAGGGACCAUGCAUUUGUAAUGACAGGACAAAAUAGUCAAUAACACCAUAAUAAAUGCUAGCUCUGCACAUUGAACUUUCUUUUAUGCAACCCGUGGCUUACAAUUUGUCUUGAACUUAUAUUUAUGCAACCUUAAGGUGUGGACAUAACAUAGCCACAACUCAAAGUCUCAAAUUCACAUUCAUAAGAGACAAUUGUGAAUUUUGAGAAGCUUCAGCAUUGAACAAACACAAGAGAAAAUGGAAGCAAAGAAAAUACCUGAGGUGAUGCUAAAUUCAGGGAAAAAGAUGCCAAUGAUAGGACUAGGAACUGCAACAACUCCUCUUCCAUCAAAUGAAGCUCUCACCUCAAUUUUGGUUGAUGCAAUUCAAAUUGGUUACAGACAUUUUGAUACUGCUGCUAUAUAUGGUACUGAAGAAUCUCUAGGACAAGCUGUUUCAAAGGCUUUAGAGUUAGGCCUUAUCAAAAAUAGAGAUGAAGUUUUCAUUACUUCUAAGUUAUGGUGUAAUGAUGCUCACCAUGACCUUGUUCUCAAGGCUCUCAAAACCACCCUCAAGCAAGCAUUAUUCUCAAACUUUCUUUUUCUUUUGAAGUUUGUUUUUUUUCUUUCUCUAAUAUAUUUUUUUGUUGGAAUUGUUUAGAAAGUUGAAGUUGGAGUAUGUGGAUCUCUACUUGAUUCAUUGGCCAGUGAGGUUGAAACAAGAUGUUGAAGGCUUUAACUUCACAGGUGAAGAUGUUGUACAUUUUGACAUAAAAGGAACAUGGAAAGCUAUGGAAGAUUGCUAUAGAUUAGGCUUAGCAAAGUCUAUUGGUGUUAGCAACUUUGGCAUUAAAAAACUCUCCCUACUCUUAGAAAAUGCAACUAUCUAUCCUGCAGUUAAUCAGGUAUAAGAAGUUAGAACUAGUUGAUUCAUUCUUGCAUAGAGUUGAUGAAAUGCACUCAAUUAGUUUUGUGACUCUUAUUUUUGGAUUUUAGGUGGAAAUGAAUCCAUCAUGGCAACAAGGGAAACUCAGAGAAUUCUGCAUGCAGAAAGGAAUACAUGUGAGUGCAUGGUCACCACUAGGAGCAUACAAAGUAUUUUGGGGUUCUAAUGCUGUGAUGGAGAAUCCAAUUCUUCAGGAAAUUGCUGAGGCUAGAAAGAAGAGUGUAGCUCAGGUGCACCUAAUUUUAUAUUUCAAACUAUAUUCAAUGACAUAAACACUUGUGAGACUGAUUGAAAGAAUUUACAGAAACAAACUGAUUGAAAGAAUUUACGGAAACAAUUUAUGAAAUGUCUAUAAGUUGUUUUCUAACUUAUUUACAUAUAAACUCUCUUAAAGUGUAAUACAUCUCUCUAACAUGUCUCAUCAUGUAAUAGUGUUUGAGCUUGAAGUGAGGAAAAUUCAAGACCUGUAUAUUUUAAUUGUUUAAAAAACAAAAACAAGAAUAGGAUCUCAUCAAACUCUAGAGUUGUUCAUGAAUGUACUAAUACCGUAUCAUGAACCAUCUCUUAUAAAACCUUAAAUUGUUAAGUGAAAGGAAAAUAAAUGCUUUUAUAUUAUAUCUAUUUUAACAAUUCAAACAUCUAAUGUACACUACUAUAUUGUGAUGACUAUUAUGCUUAAACUCAGUAUCUAUAUUGGAUAUCACGCAGAUAACACUAAGAUGGAUACAUGAACAAGGGACAAGUGCAAUUGUGAAAAGCUUCAACAAAGAGAGGAUGAAACAAAACCUUGAAAUAUUUGAUUGGGAACUGAACAAAGAGGAAUUGGACAAAAUCAAUA